UCUGGUUCUGCUCAGUUUAUCACCCAAUAUAACCCUAUUUGACAACCAUGUAUCGAGUAUAGAUUUACACUUCUAGGUUUUGGGUAGUCUUGUCACUCAGCAGACAACAGAAUGGUCCGAUUUUUUGCGAUGGCUCUGCAGACUGGAACAUCGCCAAUUUUAACCAGUUGCAAAGCAAGCACACGCAAUUUAUUUGAAAUGCUAGACAAUUAACAAUCUAGUAUACUCAACGUGUAUUUUGCUGCUGCACUUUUGGCAACUGACGUUUUUUGCCAAACCUCUACUGAUAGGGAUUGCAUCAAUUUUUAGCGU